AACGCCGGUGGCAAAAGGGGGCCGUGCAGUCGACGAGGUGAUCGGGGCAGCACAACAGGGUGAGGUCCGUCAAUGCGGUGCCCGCCGCCCCCGGAGAGAGGGGAAAGUGUACGAGACGACAAACGUUGAAGCCAUGGUCAAGGAUACGGACCACACAACCCCAUGCGAAAUGUCACUUUUGCCCUCUGGAGUUCUGCCUUUCUCAGAGCCCACCCCACCCUCACGGCUCCACUCGAGUAUUCUGCACGAAAAAGUUAAAAAUCAAACUGAACCACGACAAAGUUCAAGCUCUUCUCAACCACAGCUCUUACCUUUGUCACGAUCAUGAUGGAGAUCUUAAUAGCAGUAUUCCACGUUCCGUUUGGUUUUAGGGACUAAAAAUUAAUUCAUUCAUUUUAGUUUUAUUUAGUAGCUAAAUUGGCAAAUAAGUUGCAAUAAAACAGGGACUAAACUGUUUUAGUCUUUAGUCCGUCAAAGAUCUAUUAAAUGAGACUAACUCAUAUUAAUUCAAUAUUUUGACUCUCCUUCAUUUGUCCAUGGAUCGCUCUGGUCUUGCAUCUUACAAUUUGUUGGUCAGUUUAUAUAAGAUUCCUAAUGUUGUAUCUACAUGUGUUGCACAAUAUUGAUAUUUUUUGCUAUACACUCUCCUGUUGCAGCCCAAACUAUAAGUCCUUUAUGUAUCUAGAAAAGCUAAAACGACUUAUAAUUAGGAGGAGGGUGUAUAACGCUAACAUUUUUUUGUUUCACUAUCCAUAUUUCUUUACUGUCAUUUUUUACUAUAUUAUUGGCUUUAGACAGAUUACUAUGAUACUUUUCGUUUUUCUUCAAUAGUGCUCAACAUAAUUUAGGAUGAGAAACUGGCUCCCACUAAUUGUUGUUGCAUUGUCCCUCUGUUAGUUGUUGCAUUGUCAUUUGUUGAACUACAGGUGAACCAUGAAUUAAGACUUGGGAUCAUAUCAUCGUCAUUCUCUCUUAGUCUCUUUCUUGAAAAAUAAUUUUUUGUGCAUGGAAAAAUGUGAUAAACUGUGUUUGAACAGGACAUAUGUCAGGCAUCAACCAAUAAGAGGGAAAAGUGGAGACAUGGUUUUUGGGACAUAUGUCACUUUUUGGGAGGGAAAUAGGCUUUUUUCUCGAUGUUGAAACAUGGUUUUGUCUUUGGUCACUUGGGCUCAUUUCAUUAGCAUUGUAUGGAUCAUCAUUGGCAGUAAGACCGAUGCAACCCUACUCCUUGAUGGCUUGGUACAAGGCUUCAAAAUAUCUGAAGUAAGCAAAUCUGCUAGCCUCUCAAAGUGAGCCUGAGACCUGCAAACCUCAAAGUGGUAAAUAGCUAUGUGGUAAUCAUGUAAGAGUGCUAUUAUGUUUUAUUUAAGACCUCAAAGUGAGCCUAGGAGUGCUAUUAUGUUUUAUUUCAGACCUCAAAGUGGUGAAUAUCUAUCUUGUAACAUAGAUGAGAAAUUCCACAACAAUAAAGUUUAUCACAAUCAUUAUAGUUAAGGAAGACAAAUAACAAAAAAAGAGGGAAAAUUCAAAUCAUAGAGUAUCUAAACAAAAUAGAUCACAAGUUCACAAGGGGAGACGACACACGCGGGUGGGGGCAGGGUAGGACCUCACACGUCGGUGUCAUCCAGGGUCCAGGGAUCGUAGGCAUCGUCGUAGACCGUGGCCUGCUCGGGAGCCCUGGCCCGGAUUCGUCCCCGAUGGCCUGGAGCCUCGCGCCGACGUCGAGGCGGUCGAGGGGGUGGUGUGACGGGAGACGACGCACGCGGGGCAAGGGGCAUGCGCCGCGAGCGGGCGGGGCGCGGCGGCCGCAGCGCGGCGGCCGCACGUCAUCUGUUGGGUCGAAGGCUGGGGGUGGGUAUUGCACGGCUGAUGGGUAAGACGAGGGCGUCGGGGCGGAGGCGUUGCCUCGCCCUGUGGGCGAGCAGGCGGGGCGCGCGGGCGGCAGUAGGCGGGGGCAAGGGGUGUGGACGCCUUCGUUGUACUCUUAAUAGAGUAGUAAAGAUGAACAACCCAACUUGGUUUUAUACCUGUUUCUGAUAAAAAAAUAUUUCUUUCUUUUGGCUAGCUCAUUAUUUUGCAUACUUUCUAUCACAUGAAGAAGAAUUAUGACUAUAUGUGCGUAAUUUAAGUUCUACCACAGUUGUUUGUAACUAGAGAUUAAAAAUUUCUAUGUAGCACCUUAUGACAGUUUUUUUCUUCUUCCUUGCAGUCGGGAAUUAAGUGAGACAAUGUAGAAGGUGAAAGAGGCGAGCAUGGCACAAAAGUGUGAACAAGCGACAGUGAUUUGUUGAACGAAUGACAAUCUUUUGAAGACGCCCACUGCCAAUUCUCUGCCUUUGUCAUGUGUGAGAAACCUUAAUCGGUACUCAAACUUUGGCAUGAAUCUAAGCUACUAGCCCAACUAAAUACACUGAUAAAUAAUUAUGUAGUGAAUUUAUUUAGCAUGUGUAGUGAGGGUAAUCUGGAUUUUUACACUUUGCAAUUGCUAUGUUUCAAUGUUUGAACUUUGGUGUACAAUAUCCCGCCUCUGCCCCAAAGAGGAUGUUAUCCAGGAUUCAUCUUGUUUGGGUUCCUUUUGACAUCAAAAUAAGUUGGUGGAUAAGGUGCUGUUUACAAUAAAAAAAAUCCCAACAUAUUACUCUAACAAGCAAAAUGGUACAUUAGUUGCCUUUUUUGUUUGUUUUCUUUUCUACCGCUUGAAUUUUUCAGGUGACUGGAAUUUCUGGCACAAAUGCUCUAAUUAUUCUAGGUACAAGAGCACAAUGGUUGUUGUAGCAUAUGAACCCUGCCGUGGUUAUUCAUACUAAAUGUGAAUAACAGAAUUCUUGCUUUGUUUGUGGCCUUUGAUCUGCAAGAGGGUCUAGCACUGCUAAUCUCCUCUAUCCAGGCUCUGCUAGAACUGGUGGAAGGUGAUUAUACGUGCGAAAUGUCCCUACUGUUGCUGUUUACACUAAAAAAUUGCUUUCCUGAUAAUUUAUCAUGAUUCGGACAUCAAUAUUGCAGCAGUUUGUACGGGCUAACCAAGAAGAUGUGGCUGAGGAUAACGCUAUGCUUCUUCCUAGGUCCUAUGGUGAUUGUCAUGUACCCAGAUAGUCAUUGGUAAUCGGAGCUCCGACCGAGGGACUGCAACCGUGCUCUGUGACCAUGUCCAGGUCGAGGGGUUCAGCUCGGGAGCCUUCUCUGACCUCGUCAUGAGGGUUCAAUUCGAUUUGCAUGUCAUUGCACCAAACAAGUUUAUGCUUCGUCUGCAGCCACCUGACUUCAAGACAAGGAAGGUGAUGAGUUGCAUAGGAACUCCGAUGUGCUAGAAAUCCUCAUGAAUACCAGGUUUCUAAUGGUCUAUGUGCAGUAUGAGCGUUCACUAGAAACAAUCAUAGGACACGAUCAAAUCAUCUGGCUCGGGGGCCUAAAUUACCGAAUCAUGCUUUCCCAUCAGUUAGUGAAGGCCCUUGUCGAGAUGCGCAAUUCUAGAGAAAGAUUAGGUGAGAGCUUGGUAACCCUCAGGUUUCUUUUGGUUACCCAGUAGUCCAGCUACCAACACUUGAAACAAGCUCUUCAGAUGAGAAGCAGCAGAAGCAACUUUUCUUUAGAAUCUACUUGGUUUCUAAGGAUUGUCAGCAUCAUAAGUUUUCCGCCACAUCCUUUCUUAUAGAGUGCAAAGAAACUCCAUGUGGGUGUCCCAUUGAGCCUCUUCCUCUUUAUGUCAAAUAUUUAUUUCCUAUGAGAGCCGCGUCACCUAUUAUUUUUGCCAGAGGCCUUGAAAAGUCAGGAACGGCCCUGACACUGACAUUCUCUCGUCUGCGCGGCGUACAUUCUCCUAGCCGCCAUCCUCACCAUGCCGCUGCGGAUCCCGCCCGCGGUAUGACUCCCUCCUCACCUACGUGGCCACGCGCGACGCAGCCGCAACGACCUAACCCCCAUGUCGUCGCUGACCUCGCGUCCCGUCUCGCUGCUACGAUGCCUUCGUGGAAGCUUGAAGGUAUGAUGUCCCUUCCAUCUCUCUUCUUUGAUGGACUGCUCUUUGUUGUUCCAGUUCACUACUAAUGUGGGUUUUGCCUAUUGGUAGGAAAAAAAAUUCUUUACAUCUGGGAUGUAAAGAAUCUCUUUUACAGCCCCUCACAUACACCAGCUGCUGGUAUAUAUAAAUAGAAGAAAAAAAUAAAUUACUAAAAGAUUAUUUUGUAAAUUUUGAUCUGUCUUUGUGGGCCUUUAAGUGGUGCAUGUGAGGGGCUGUAAAAGGUGGUGUUCACAUGCGGUAUGUAUAGAUUUUUUUUCCCGGUGGUAAGCCUGGUGCGAUGGCGUUGGUAACAAAAAAAAAGUAGAAUGCACGCUUUAUUUAUUUUGAUGCCAAAAAUUCGAAUCGAAACUGCAAUUGGCCGCUUACAAUAUUAUUGUUGACAAAAAAUGAAAUGCGUGCUAGCAUCAUAGCUAACGAUAUUAUCAUACAUGUUUUGGUACAUUUAGCACUAAAAGGUGUGCUCUGAUGCUAUUUGCAUCAAUUAAACCAUCUUUAAGAAUAUGUCAUUGGUUACUUCAUAUAAUUUUGUCUUGUAAUUUGUUUGAACUUGUAAUGCCUGGAGAAGUCUGCAGUAAAAAAUUGUUAGGAUGCAGUCGUACUGCCAGGUUCAUUAAUUAGGUGAAUUUUUUGGUAUUUGUAGUUUUCAAAAUGAUGAAUAUGUACACAGAUGAAUAUGUAUAUUAUCUAAAAUUUAUUGGAUGUAACGUUCAAUUGUUUCAUGAUACACAUGUGUUGGUUAUUGGAGGGGAACGGUGGUGUUCUGUGUUAGGUUUCACGACAUAUCUCUGUGGAGCAGAUUGGCAUAUGUGAAAUUGAUAAGACGGUGGUAGAUGUAAGAUCUCGCUUCCUGUAUGUGCAUAAUACUGUGCAGUGACCACUGAUAUUAUGUUUUAUUGACUUUUAGAUGUUUGAGAGCAUUUGCUUUCUGUUAGAUUUCUCUGAACACCAAUAAUUUGGUCUAUGUGUCUUUAUCUACAUUCAGUUGAGGAAUGCAAUUGAUUUUACUGAUGUCACUUGAUUUUUCGACACUGAUGUUAGCUGCUCCUACUAUGCCUUCUUCAAUUUUUAAAAUGCAUUCAUUUUCGUAUUUUGGUACUACAUGAUAUGAGGACAGCAAAUGAGAUGACUCAUGACGUGGUUAAUUGAGAUUCCUUUAGUCUUCUGAAUUUCCUUCUUUUAUGUUAUUUGCUUAGUAGGUUGGGUUGGAUUCUGUGAGGGGUACUGAUUCAUGAUUAAAAUUGGGUGGACAGGAGGCAUAUUUUUGUAAAAGGACAACAACAGAGGAUUGUUCAUUUGUUCCUUCUCAAGGGUCAUGCUAUUUUGCAAACUAGGGUGAUGGUUUUUGCAUUAUCGGUUCUUUAGCGUGUCGACUGUAUAUUUUGUUGAACCAUGUAAGCUGUCGUCUUCUCUCAGUGCAAGCUUUGUGGGAGAGAUGGAACAAUUGUGAUGAUUCAUGGGCUUUCAUUCAAGAUUUUUGAAGAUCUAUCUAGAACUUCCACCAAUAGUCCAACCAUUACAAAUGGAAGAGGAUCUAGAGCAACUGAAAGUUCUUGAAAACAGCUAUCGGAUGAAGGUAUUUUGGCAUGGAACGCUAGAAUCUGAGAUAGACCGUGUCUGGUGAUCAAAGUGGAGCAAAAUGCCCGUGGUGUGGAUGCACCUGAGGUGCAUUGAGAAAAUCGAAGCGCUGACGUGAGCGAGAAAUAUCCAGUAGAAAAUGAUGGCAGAGCGAGUGCUUUGCAUUGCUAUCAGUGUAGGCUUGAUAGGAGACUUUUGGUUGUGAUAUCUUAUUUUCUAAAUAGUAUGAUACCAGAUAGGGGGGCCGUAAGGGCGCCUUUUGCUCUAGUAUUAGGCUGUCUCCAGCAACGUCUCCUAAAUUUCGUCCUUUAAAGUAAUAUUCUUUAUCAUUUACAGCAUCCUCUAAAAAAUUCGUCCUCUAUA